GAUGAACGCUGGCGGCGUGCCUAAUACAUGCAAGUCGAGCGAACAGACGAGGAGCUUGCUCCUCUGACGUUAGCGGCGGACGGGUGAGUAACACGUGGAUAACCUACCUAUAAGACUGGGAUAACUUCGGGAAACCGGAGCUAAUACCGGAUAAUAUAUUGAACCGCAUGGUUCAAUAGUGAAAGACGGUUUUGCUGUCACUUAUAGAUGGAUCCGCGCCGCAUUAGCUAGUUGGUAAGGUAACGGCUUACCAAGGCAACGAUGCGUAGCCGACCUGAGAGGGCGAUCGGCCACACUGGGACUGAGACACGGUCCAGACUCCUACGGGAGGCAGCAGUAGGGAAUCUUCCGCAAUGGGCGAAAGCCUGACGGAGCAACGCCGCGUGAGUGAUGAAGGUCUUCGGAUCGUAAAACUCUGUUAUUAGGGAAGAACAAAUGUGUAAGUAACUAUGCACGUCUUGACGGUACCUAAUCAGAAAGCCACGGCUAACUACGUG
rnacentral:rRNA from 1 species